rnacentral:rRNA from 1 species
GUGGGGAAUCUUCCGCAAUGGACGAAAGUCUGACGGAGCGACGCCGCGUGAGUGAAGAAGGCCUUCGGGUCGUAAAGCUCUGUCAUCAGGGACGAACGGCCGGUGGAGUGGAAAGCCACCGGAUUGACGGUACCUGAGAAGGAAGCCACGGCUAACUACGUGCCAGCAGCCGCGGUAAUACGUAGGUGACAAGCGUUGUCCGGAAUUAUUGGGCGUAAAGCGCGCGCAGGUGGGAUCUUAAGUCCAUUUUUAAAGUUCGGAGCUCAACUCCGUGAUGGGAUGGAAACUGGGAUUCUUGAGUACCGGAGAGGAAAGCGGAAUUCCCCGUGUAGCGGUGAAAUGCGUAGAUAUGGGGAGGAACACCAGUGGCGAAGGCGGCUUUCUGGACGGUGUCUGACACUGAGGCGCGAAAGCCAGGGGAGCGAACGGGAUUAGAUACCCGAGUAGUCC